rnacentral:rRNA from 1 species
AAAUAGAUACCCCGGUAGUCCACGCCGUAAACGAUGAGUGCUAAGUGUUAGAGGGUUUCCGCCCUUUAGUGCUGCAGCUAACGCAUUAAGCACUCCGCCUGGGGAGUACGGCCGCAAGGCUGAAACUCAAAGGAAUUGACGGGGGCCCGCACAAGCGGUGGAGCAUGUGGUUUAAUUCGAAGCAACGCGAAGAACCUUACCAGGUCUUGACAUCCUCUGCCAACCCUAGAGAUAGGGCGUUCCCCUUCGGGGGACAGAGUGACAGGUGGUGCAUGGUUGUCGUCAGCUCGUGUCGUGAGAUGUUGGGUUAAGUCCCGCAACGAGCGCAACCCUUGAUCUUAGCUGCCAGCAUUCAGUUGGGCACUCUAAGGUGACUGCCGGUGACAAACCGGAGGAAGGUGGGGAUGACGUCAAAUCAUCAUGCCCCUUAUGACCUGGGCUACACACGUGCUACAAUGGAUGGUACAAAGAGCUGCGAACCCGUGAGGGUAAGCGAAUCUCAUAAAGCCAUUCUCAGUUCGGAUUGUAGG